GACGAACCGUCCAAACGUUAUUCGGAAUCACUGGGCUUACAGAGUUCGUAGGCGGUCUGGAAAGUUGGGUGUGAAAUCCCUCGGCUCAACCGAGGAACUGCGCUUGAAACUACCAGACUCGAGGGAGAUAGAGGAAAGCGGAACUGAUGGUGGAGCGGUGAAAUGCGUUGAUAUCUGGAGGAAUACCGGUGGCGAAGGCGGCAUCCUGGACCGGCAUUGACGCUGAACAGCGAAAGCUAGGGGAGCAAACGGG
rnacentral:rRNA from 1 species